UAUGGUACUAUAAUGGUCAUC
rnacentral:siRNA from 1 species